rnacentral:lncRNA from 1 species
AUGGAUGGAUGGAUGGACGGUCGGACGGAUGGACGGACAGCCAGUAGGCUGGAAGACGGCGAGUGGCCGGGCUCCCACAGCCCCACCUGGGGAGCCCUCGCCCCUGGGCCACUCCCCUCUCCUCAAGGCACCUCCAACACCCUCUGGCCUCUGGACACCUGGCCCGUCAGCAGGAGGGAAAACCCAGGAAGGUCUCCUGUCCAUCAGCAAGUCUUCAUUCUCCUUCCGGUGUUUCUCUGCCCUCAGUCUGGGGCUCCUCUCCGCUGUCAGCGCCUUUCCAGCCACCCGCCGUCACCCAAGAUGUCCUCCCUGGCCCAACAGGUCAGCGACUUGGUUAGAUGCUGUCCUUUAUCUCUGGGGCCCUUAACCCUACUCUAUUUCUGUUUUACGGGGUGUUGGUACCCAUGGGCCUCUGUUUCUCCCAGAGCAGAGCUGACACUGGUCCGCACUGCCCUGGGACGGAUGGACAGACAGCCGGCCUUUAGCGGGUCUCUGCCUGGCCUCUGUCUGGAGUCUCACAGGAGGGGCUCCCAGGGCUGCACGCAUGUGUCGGCAGGUGCCCUCCAGACCUGUUCCUGCCGCCCACCUGAGACCCUGCCCCCAGAGCGAGCCUUUCUCUUUUGGUUCUGGGACUGGGCCAAAGGCAAAGAUCAGAGGCAAAGGUCAGAAAUUCUGGCUCUGGGGCGCCUGGGUGGCUCAGUGGGUUAAGCGGCUGCCUUCGGCUCAGGUCAUGAUCUCAGCGUCCUGGGAUCGAGUCCUACAUCGGGCUCCUUGCUCGGCAGGGAGCCUGCUUCUCCCUCUGCCUGCCUCUCUGUCCGCCUGUGCUCGCUCGCUCUCUCUCCCUCUAUCCCUGACAAAUAAAUAAAAAUAAAAUCUAAAAAAAAAAAAAAGAAAUUCUGGCUCUGCCUGGGCAGCUGCCCGCCGCCUGGGCAGGGGCCGCUGGUGUGGGAGGAGGGGCCACGCGAGGUUUGUGCCCAAGGACCCCUUGCCCGCACCUCCACUCUCUCCCACACCCUUCCUCCAGCUCCCCACCCCUUUUUGGGGGGUGGAGCACGGUGUGGGUGGGCACAGAUCUCGGGGUUACCCCCUUCCAUCCCCGGGGACACCCGGCCCUGCAGCCUUGGUGGAGUCUCGGCCAGGAGAGGAGUUAGAAUGAGUGCAGAGCGCCUGGAGCUGCAUGGGGGGUCACACCUGACCCAGGUGACGGGUGACGCAGUGGGGGGCGCAUGGCCUUGGUGGGUGCCGAUGGGACAGAUGGGGGUGGGGGCCUUCCUGGGGCUGGGUCACCUCUAUUUACAGAGCUGAUUCAUAAGACAUAAACAGAGAAGGAGCUGGGAAUGGAGGGGGCUGGGCCUUCCCACAUAGCCUCUGAGGGCCGGAGAGCUGAGGAAGGCGGCUGCUAGGGACCCCAUGGGAGUGCGUGUCCCCGGAGGUAUGCAGGCUCCUGAGGGCUGGGGAAGACUGGGGCGGAGACUGCCCUCCCCCGCCCCCACGCCUCCUCCCUGGCCCCUGGAAUGCAGGCUCUGUGCGUCUGUACCGUGGGUUCUGCAGAGAACACCAGCGGGGCUGAGUUCAGGCGCUUGACCCCAUGGGAGGGAGGCUGUGGCCCCAGGAGGCCCUGCUUGCCUGUCUGCAGAACCAGACGGACCUUGCGACCACGUUCCUGGGGGCUCAUGAUGGCAGCAAAGAGGGCAGGGGUCCGGACUGGCCAGUGCUGGACACAGACCCAGCGCAGAGGGACGCAGCAGGGCUGACGGAGGCGGUGGUGGGCGUUGGCCGGCCGGACAGAGCCGCUGCCCGUGGUCCCCGCGGUGUCUCCCACACACCUUCACGGGCCACGGACGCUCGACUUUGGAUAUAGUUUUAUCCCCGGCGUGUAUCCCACAGCCUGUCCCAGAGGUGUCCCCAGUGUCAGCCCGAGGCCCCAGAGAGCUGUUCUCGGCCGCAGGAAUCAAGGAGCAGGACCACCCAAAGCGCACGCAAAUGGGACCUGUCCUGCGCCUCGCUCUUAGGCGGGGGCGGAGGCCAAGGGCCAGCAGCCGUCCUGGCCCGAGACAGAGAGCCCCGGAAAAGGAGGCCGCGGGAGGAAGCGCGACGGGCCUGCGGGUUCCCCGGCGGCGCAGGCGACUGGCCAGGUGGGAAAACAGGGCCAGAAGGACCUGGGGAAAUAAAAAAUAUAAUGUCGGAAACUCUUCAGCUCUCACAGAAGGAUUGAAAGGCUGAGUUGGGCAAGUCUCAGAGAAGACAGAGCCAAACCGCACGGGACAGACCGUGAGCCCCGCGCCCGGGGGAGGCCCGGACCUGAGCGACCAGCGCGGCUCUGGCCAGCAGCUUCCGCCGGGGGCGGGGCCUGGGGCACUGCGGACUCAGUGCCCAGUGUUCAGGUUUCCUUUACAAAUGUGUGCAGGCGCCGGGGUGGCUCAGUGGGGUGAAGCCUCUGCCCAGGGCCCUGGGAUCGAGCCCUGCAUCGGGCUCUCUGCUCAGCGGGGAGCCUGCUUCCCCCUCUCUCUCUGCCGGCCUCUCUGCCUACUUGUGAUCUCUGUCUGUCAAAUAAAUAAAUAAAAUCUUUAAAAAAGA